rnacentral:tRNA from 1 species
ACCUGACUCGCUCAUUUGGUGGAGCAUGCAACUCUUGAUCUCAGGGUUAUGAGUUCAAGCCCCAUGUUGGGUG